rnacentral:rRNA from 1 species
UACGAAGGGGGCUAGCGUUGCUCGGAAUCACUGGGCGUAAAGGGUGCGUAGGCGGGUCUUUAAGUCAGGGGUGAAAUCCUGGAGCUCAACUCCAGAACUGCCUUUGAUACUGAGGAUCUUGAGUUCGGGAGAGGUGAGUGGAACUGCGAGUGUAGAGGUGAAAUUCGUAGAUAUUCGCAAGAACACCAGUGGCGAAGGCGGCUCACUGGCCCGGUACUGACGCUGAUGCACGAAAGCGUGGGGAGCAAACAGG